AAUCGAUAUUAGUUGUAUGAAGUUGGCACUACUGUAUUUGGUACAACUUAAGUGUCAAUAUGGAUUUGAACAAACGACAACAUAACUUAAUACUAAUAUUGGCGAUGAUGAUUCCUGGAAUACAUAUACAUAUGCACAUUCGGUCAAGGGCCGUUUGCCGUUACAGUACGGGCGAGAUGUAUGGAUCUUCGAAUCAAUUGGAUCGUCUUCACCACCACCUGGUGCCGUGAAAUGGAGAGUGGUUGUCCUUUGUCGUUAAUAGGCGGCUAUUGGCCAGCUCCAAUGUGACAAAGGCCACUCGACGGCUUGAUUAAUGGAUGCACCAGGAAUCACCGCACACGAUUAUGUCCUUUGGCCGGCAAAUUAAUUGAUAAAGAGGAAAAGAUAAAUACAACUUACAUAGUCAUUCAUGAAUGGAACCGGGGUUGAACAACCGGACGGCCAGGAGAGAACGCAGCAGCACACAGCGGAUUCACUGGGUGAUCCUCGAGUGCCUGGUGCCGCCGUGAUCCAAUCACGACCUUUCGCGCCGUGUUUACCGCCUGCGAUGCUGCGUGCGAUUCUCUGUUUGUGCGUCGUGUGCCUGGCCAUCCGGGUAUCCACUUUCGGCCAUUUUUUUAUUUUUAUGAUUUGUAAUGAAAAAAAAAUUGUAUUUUAAUUUUAAAUAAA